CAAAAGAUUAUCCUAGACUAGAUUUUUGUCAAACUUUUUUUAAAUAUGACAAAAAUACCCCUAAUUUUAUUAAAUUAAGAAUUAAUUAAAUAAUUAAAAAUAGAUUUUAAAAUAGAAAAUAUAUAAAAUUUAUUUUCAAAUAAAUAUUUUUAAAAGAAUGUAAAAAAAAGGCAUUAAUUUUUUCUUUUCUCUCCCUACUCUUCGUCCUCUCCUCUCCUUCUGACUUCUUCUUUGAUUAUCCAGGUGACUUGCAAGAAACCACCUCCCAUCGAUGACAUAUGCAACACCAACCACCUCUCCCGAUGACGAUUGCGAGCCCUGAAGUUUGGAAGCUCUCGUCGGCAACUCUGUUUAUGACAUGUCAUUCUAGAUCUGGGUCUUUGUCAUAGUCGAGCCCCCAGACCCAUCCCCAGCGUCAUUUCCUUUCACUCACGCAAAUGCAUCUGCUUGCCCAUUGUCGUUGCUUAUGCUUGCCUCUGAGGAAGUGAUAUCCAUUUCUCUCUAGAGUAAAAAACAAAGAACAUAAAGAUGAGAAGUAUAAAACGCAGGCUAGGCAAAGAUCGACUUUGAGAAAAGUGCUCAGAAUAGAGCUUGUGAAGGGCUAGGAAAAACACUGGCGGAGCUAGCUAGGCAAACGGAGGACGAGAUGUGCAACACUGAUUUGGGUUUCUGAACAACGAUGAAGGAUGUUGAAGAGUGGGUUAGAUGUUUAAAUCUGCCUGGGCUUUUUUUUUCUCUUUGCUCAGAACAAAAAUUAUAAUCUGGCGAUGCUUGAAUGUUUCUUUAAUCUGCCUUGAGAUUGUUUUAUUCUUGGUUUUGUUUUAAAAAAAUUGUUUGUAAAUAUGUAAUGAAUUGAAGUUGGAUAUUGUAUGUAAAUUUGGAAUAGAUUUUCUCUUGAAGAA